rnacentral:lncRNA from 7 species
GCACUGCUUCCCAAAGGAUUUCUGCUCGGAGCCAUCCUUCUAUUUCCCAGAGCUGGAGGGAAAACACAUGGAAAGACAUCUGGAGAUGGAGGGGCCACACUUCUACACACCUGCUCUAACAUCUAUCGGCAUCAUCUGAAUAUCAUUUACAGCCAUAUUACCGAUGAGGGCACUGGGAGGACGUGCUCUGAGAAAGGUGCUGAAGAGCAGAACCACUGGGAUCAUUCUCUGAGAUGACAGAUUCGAAGCUUGAGGACCUCCUGACCUAGCAAUCCCAGACAGAACAAGACCAAGUACAUGGAGGGUGAAGAUAUCUAACUGCAGAGAUGCUAAGGCAUCCCAGUGUGGAUUUUGUCAUUAUUAUAUUCCUAUCAUAAGGAUGCUAGAAGCAUCAUGCUCACAGGCUCUCAUCCUGAUGGAGUAUUUCAAUCACCUGGACGUCUGCUGGGACAGCAACACGGCAAGCUGCAAGCAAUCCAGGAGACUCCUGGAGUCUAUUGAGGAUAUCCUAACUCCCCAGUUUAGGUACUGGACAGACCAACCAAAGCUGCAGCAUUACUGGUUUCCUUGGACAUGAAGGAGGCUGAAGUACGCAACAAGUUAUUUGUCCCAACCUUCACUGCCAUUCAGGCUUCCCACACCUCUCACAUCCUUGAACCUCUAACCAAAAUGCCUCCCACUGUAAGAGAAGAGCACGUUUGAGACCACCUGAUGAGAUUUAUGGGAAUAACAACAAAAUAAUAAUGAGAUCACCUGAUGAGAUUUAUAUUAGAUGUUAGGGGGAAAGUUUUCACUCAGAGGGUGAUACGGGUUGCCCACAGAAGCUGUGGAUGUCCCAUUCCUGAAGGUGUUCAAGGCCAGGAUGGAUGGUUGCCUGAGCAGAGAAAAGCAGAAAAACAGAAAAGCAGAAGUGGCUAUGUCCAAUCUAUCGGACUUUAUGUUAAAAGAAAGAAGGAACAGAAGUAACAUGUCCAGCGGUUGCAUCAGCAGGGGAUAUUAUUUCCAUUUCUUCUCUGCUCUUUCUAAUGCUAGUAAGUCUUAAAACCAGCUGAGCUAAUUCAUAAAAAUCUGAAGAUGGUACAGUAAACAGUUUUGUGGCC